GUGUGUGGUAGAGUGCGUAUACUUAAAUGAUGGAUAAUGUACAUAUUAUAUCCUGUUUGCCUGCUUCCAUCUGUUGUGAUUGAAACAAUUGUACUCGUUACAACUCCAUUUUGUAACAGUUGAGGUGAACAGGUAGGACACUCCGGAAACAAAGGUAUUCCAGUCAACGAUUAAAAAAUUAAAAUUUGGUCAAAUUUAUUACAGUGCUUCUUUGAACCGACAUGAAGUAAAAUCUUUUUCCUAGAAGUGCAGGCCAGUCAGUCCGCCAUCCACGAAACUUCAUUCACAUUUCUGCCGCGAAGGCUGUCAACCACGUCUACCGCAGCAAGGGAGGCAAUUCAAUCCUUACUAAGAGGCUUAUGCUCUCCCUUUGGUUCUCUUCAUACAGAUGACAACCACUAGUAACCUCCAUUUGUGUGUCAGCAGCAAGUUUAGUCCAUGAUGUUUCAGGACAGUUUUCCGGUCCUUUAGUUCUCUCUCUACUGACCUUCGCCAUGUUUCCUUUGGCGGACCCGCUUCCUCUCGCCAUCUGCUGCCAAUGAAGGGCUAUGUUGGUUGAUGCCUCUAGUUUCAUUUUUCACACAUGCCCUAGCUGUUUUUAUCUUCUUUUUGGAUUUUUGUGGUCAUAUUUGUACACCUGGCUCUUGUAAAAAUUUAUUUAUUAGUAAUUAUAAGCCAGAAUAUCUUCACAAUUUUUCUCAGUCAUUUGGUUUGGAAGGUCUCUAGUUUCUUCUGAAUUUGCUGAUAUCUUUCCAGCACUCACUUCCAUAGAGGAAGACCGAAAGGAUAUUGUUUCUGAAGAUUCUUAAUUUUGUGCUCCUCCUUCGAGCUUUAGACUUCCAAAUUUCUGUUAUCAUAGUAAAGGCUUGAUUUGCUUUGAUGUCUUCACAAUAUAGUUCCACACAACCAUUGUACCAAAACAGGAAAACUCAAACCUGAAAUCAAUUCUCCAAGAUAAAGUAGCACAAUGAUUACUGCCAUCUCUACUAGUAAAAGAAAAUGAAAAAGAUGUUCUGUCUAAAGAAGAGAAUUUUCCGCAGCUUAUCAUUUGAACCAUAUGGCACACAGUUUCCUUCCACAGUUUUAUCAAAGUGAGUUAAUUUAUGCUUCCUGUAAUUUGAAGGCUCCGUUAUUAGUUGGGACCAUUGUAGCAUUUUGUACCCCACCCUCAAAUCACGGAUCUGGAGCAAAAAACUGAAAAUACUGAGGACCUCUUUCCCUUUGUCUGACAAACACUCUGUCAGAUGUGUCUUUAGUAACUCCUGGCCUGAUCACCAUCACCAGCAACUUUGACCUCUAGCUUGGUUAUUGCCUCUAGUGUCUCUCUUGCUUGCUCACUGUCAUAAUGUUUUUGUAUUAACUAAAAUUAUUAUGGUUUUCUCCUCUUCUGCACCACAAUGUCAGUUUGCGGAACAAGGCUGCUGAGAAAUGUGCUGAUCAGUCAGUAGAUAACUAGAGACGAGCUUUCAAAGUAACAAUGGCUAGAGUCUUGCCAGGCUGUGUGCUGCUCUUCUGGUGUUGGUCGUGCAUUGCACAAGAAACCUUACCACAGUGUGUAUCUCUCCAGUCAACAAUACGGUGUGGAGCUGGAGAACAUUUCGGAUUCAGUUUGCAUACUACGAUGUAAGAGACCGCUGCACUCAGAAGCCCUGCCUGAGAAACCAAGACAUUUCUCUGGUUCACUGAUCUGCGAGGGUGAGACGUCCUCCACGUGCUACCGACUGCUACCAUCAGGUGCCCUGGACGACAUGUACAACACAUGUGGGGAUGAGUUCUGUAAUCUCUGGGAGGUGGAUAAGUCGAUGUUUCCAUCAAUAGGUCCUGUCUGUGUGGUUUACACUUGUUCUGAUGGAAGUAGCCUCACGAUUGAAUGCCAGCCGCUGCCAGCAGGGACAUUCAUCAAGAACUGUAAGAUUUUUUUCGCAUCUUUUCGUAUCUCUAAGAGACAAUAAGCCAUCUCAAAAUUAGUCUUAAAUUAAGAAUAGGACUGUCAUUUUAUUUGCAAACUACUCAUAUUAUGUUUCAUCUCGUUCCAUUCUGCCUCUUUACUUUCACAGGCAGCAACUCCCUCUCACACAUGUAUGAGUGUAAGUUGUGUCCCAUCUAUUAAUACCAUCUGACACAUGUAUGAGUGUAAGUUGUGUCCCAUCUAUUAAUACCAUCUGACACAUGUAUGAGUGUAACUUGUGUCACAUGUAUCAAUAUCAUCUGACACAUGCGUGAGUAUAACUUGUGUCACAUGUAUCAAUAUCAUCUGACACAUGUGUGAGUGUAACUUGUGUCACAUCUAUCAAUAUCAUCUGACACAUGUGUGAGAGUUGUGUCACAUCUAUCAAUACCAUCUCACACAUGUGUGAGUAUAACUUGUGUCACAUGUAUCAAUACCAUCUCACACAUGUGUGAGUGUAACUUGUGCCACAUCUAUCAAUAUACUCUCACACAUGUGUGGAUGUAGAAAGGUUCUUACUAGCUUCUCACAGUGUGGGAGACACUAAACCAGCGCCAGAAAUUUUUUUUUAAUCCUUUCAAUGCUAUUAUGCCAUUGUAAGAAAUUUUGUUAUUUCUAAUUAUAUAUUUAUAUCACAUACUUUUCUUGUAUAAUUUAUUGUCUCUUUUAAAUACACCUGCUAAUAGUGUCCCAUCUUUAUGACACCCAGACAGCCUCUACUCUUUUCCACAGUUAGAGGCAGAUACAUUGCAAUCUAGUGUAAUUUGUAAAGUUUAUAUAUGUUAUGUUUGUAUAUGCAUUUACAGCAUCCUGUGAGUAAAAAUAUCUCAUGGAACAAAAUAUCUAAAUAUUAUAACGUUGCCUUAAUAAUUUUAAUACAGGAUUUUGAGUUUUAUUUAUUUAUAUUUGACAUUUAUCCCUUAUCAAGCAAAACAAUGGUCACAAUAAUUGGUCCUCCUCCGUUACCUCUCCAACAUCACUAUCGCCACUAUCAUAUCCAUCCAUCCCUUCCUCCUUCCCUCCUCCUCCUCCUCUUCCUCAUCAUCAUCAUCCUCAUCAUCACAUACAAUAAAGCUUUUUUAAUAAAAUUAAUAAAUAAAAUAGUGCAACACAGAUAAUCUGAACAAGUUAAAAAUAAAUUACAUGCCCCAGUAAAUUUUAUCGACAGCAAUGAUUUGAUGUUUAUCAAUAAUAUAUCACUACAUUAAUACCUUUAUUUUAAUACAGAAACUAUAGCUCAAUAAAUUUCUUCACAACAGUAAUUUCCUGUUUAAUAAAUAGUUUGUUAUCACAUCCUUAUUUUACUGUAUCUGUUUUAUUGCCCUUUAGUCGUUCUUUGACUUGAAUAAAGCAAUGUCGUGCUCAAGAUAACUUUUUCCGGAAUUCGCGAUCACAUUUUUUUUCCAUUUUGGUUAAAAGUUUCUUUGAGUCUCCGAUCUUUUGGUUGAUUCUGUUUUCACAGACGUCAAGUGAAGGUAUGUAAACCACAUGUCUGUGUGAUUUUAUCUUCAUUGUAUGUAAACAAAUGCAGUUAUUUUUUCCAAGAUUGUUUUGACAGGAUUUUAUUUCCUGUGUGGCUAUAAAGAUCCAUUUGAAACCUGUCUUUACACAAAAACCACUGACUAUCAUUAACGAUAUACGUAGCAUGGAAAAAAUAUAUAAAACAUCUUUAUUAGGACUUUUAUGUAAAAUGAAAAACCUAUGCAAACUCUUUUUUAUAUCCUUUAUUUUUAUUUUUUUUAAUUACUUAAAGAGAUUCAAUUGUAAUGUUAUUAUUUUUCUGUUAUAUCUCUGACUAUGAGAAAGAGAAUCCUGAAACCAGAAGCCACAAGACUUCAGUGAUCAACCAAAGACAAGGGAAGAAUGCAGGAGGGUACCACACUUCAGCCAAAACUCUGGGCAAGUUGCCAUUGGACAUGAGACCACUUCUUUGAUGAUUCAGGGUUCUGGCCAGUUUCACAGGGGGUAUAACAUGAUAAUACACAAUGUAUGAUGUAUGUAUUAGCACGCUCACCUCUAUACUUCCACUCGUGUAUUUACACUAUAAAUACAUGCAAGUAUCAAAUCAGUACAAUCAUGUAUAUCCAUCAAAUAUAUGUCUCAAAAUAAUACUCACAAUGCGAUUGUGGGAUUAUAAGCCAUUCCACACCAUACAAUUAUAUAUUCACAUAGAAACAAAGACUAAUCUUUAGCAAAGAGAAGGGUGUGUGCAAUUUUUUUCGAGAUGAAAUGUUUACAAAGAUCCAUUUAUUUUGGGCAUUCAAAAAAAGUGCUGUUCAGUUUCAGGUGUAUCAGGACAAAAGGCAGCUCAAACAUUCUGAUUCCAGUCGCCACGUGACCAGGAUGAAGAAGAGAGGAAGGGCGUGUCGUCCAAAACAUGUUAGAGGCCUUCAAGUCUGAUAAUCGUCCUGUCGACUGAGCCAUGAUGUGGUGAGAGAGGAAGAGAAGGUUCAGACUUUUAGAACAAAAACAAUUACUAGAGAUGGAGAGCGAGUAAGUGAGAUAAAAUGGAAGAUGAAUAGUCAAUGGCUGGAACUGUCAGUCACUUCCUUCGUCUGCGUUAUCACUCAUGGCACACGCUCGCCGGACUUCUCAAUUCGUUGAAUCCAUCAACACACACUUCCACAACCAUGACGACCUCUGGCGGUGAUGAGGAGCCUGUCACAAACUGCAGGCAUCAAGUGUUUCCGGACACAAUGUGGAAGCCAAACAGAACUUCAUGUAGUGAAGGCGUGGUAUUAUUCCUUUUUACAAGAGAAAAGAGUUAAUUUGUUGUGGAAACGGAAAUAAAUGUACAUUUAUGUUGGUGUGUGUUCACUUUACAGCAAGACACCAUGUCAACUACAUAAUUUAGUAAAAAACCUCGUCAGAACAAACACUUUUACUGCAAAUACAGAAGUACAGGAUCUUGUGUACGCGCCUUUCCACUUAUUGUGACCAUCCACUAUGAACCAAACUAUGAACUAAACCUAUGCUAUUAAAACGUACUUUGUCAAGAAGAAAAUAAACUUUUCACUACUGUUCCACUUCAGUUAUAAAGUCCUUCUAGGAGAUUUUUGAAAGCUGUUUUAAUACUUUAUUAUCACAUUGCGAGGAAGUCAGCAAACUAACGGAGCCUCUACGGAGAUGACUUAGAGCUCCUUUCCUUCUGUCCAAAACUGUUCUAAAUGUCUACUCUCUCUUUCAUCUUUCAUCCUUCUCCAUUCCUAAACACCACUUCUAAGGCCUCACACAUUAUGUAGGUGUGUGUGGCAGUAUGUGUGUUUGUGUGUGUGUUUUCCGUAUCAAGCAAGACGGUGGUCAUUGUCAGAAUCCGUUGCACAAUUUUUGGAGUCUUGUUUUUAUCAGUUCUGCUUUUGCAGACGACAAGUAUAGGUACAUAUUUGUAUCUGUGUGACAGUCAGACACACAAAAUUAUUGUUCAUCAGCUUACAACUUUAUUUACACUAGAAACAGAUUAUUUGAAACUGCUAGGUUUUAUUUGAAAGGCUAUUUGGAAUUUUCUUUAAACAAAAGCUAGUGAAAUUUUAUUGUGAUCUGUUGAAAUACAUAGUGUACAUGUUA